GCUGAAAUAGCUCAGUUGGGAGAGCGUCAGACUGAAGUUCUGAAAAUCCCUGGUUUGACCCCGGGUUUCAGCA